UACGAAGGGGGCUAGCGUUGCUCGGAAUUACUGGGCGUAAAGGGAGCGUAGGCGGAUAUUUAAGUCGGGGGUGAAAGCCCAGGGCUCAACCCUGGAAUUGCCUUCGAUACUGGAUAUCUAGAGUAUGGGAGAGGUGUGUGGAACUCCGAGUGUAGAGGUGAAAUUCGUAGAUAUUCGGAAGAACACCAGUGGCGAAGGCGACACACUGGCCCAUUACUGACGCUGAGGCUCGAAAGCGUGGGGAGCAAACAGG
rnacentral:rRNA from 1 species